UUUUCUUUAACUUAAGUUAAAGUGGUAGUUUGAAGAACUGUUAAUAGCGGUGUUGCUAGGAGGGG
rnacentral:tRNA from 1 species